rnacentral:rRNA from 1 species
UACGUAGGGUGCGAGCGUUGCCCGGAUUUAUUGGGCGUAAAGGGUGCGUAGGCGGCGCGGUAAGUCGGGUGUGAAAUCUUGGAGCUUAACUCCGAAACUGCAUUCGAUACUGCCGUGCUUGAGGACUGGAGAGGAGACUGGAAUUUACGGUGUAGCGGUGAAAUGCGUAGAGAUCAUGAGGAAGACCAGUGGCGAAGGCGGGUCUCUGGACAGUUCCUGACACUGAGGCACGAAGGCCAGGGGAGCAAACGGG